rnacentral:rRNA from 1 species
AAAAGUGAAAGACGGUCUUGCUGUCACUUAUAGAUGGAUCCGCGCUGCAUUAGCUAGUUGGUAAGGUAACGGCUUACCAAGGCAACGAUGCAUAGCCGACCUGAGAGGGUGAUCGGCCACACUGGAACUGAGACACGGUCCAGACUCCUACGGGAGGCAGCAGUAGGGAAUCUUCCGCAAUGGGCGAAAGCCUGACGGAGCAACGCCGCGUGAGUGAUGAAGGUCUUCGGAUCGUAAAACUCUGUUAUUAGGGAAGAACAUAUGUGUAAGUAACUGUGCACAUCUUGACGGUACCUAAUCAGAAAGCCACGGCUAACUACGUGCCAGCAGCCGCGGUAAUACGUAGGUGGCAAGCGUUAUCCGGAAUUAUUGGGCGUAAAGCGCGCGUAGGCGGUUUUUUAAGUCUGAUGUGAAAGCCCACGGCUCAACCGUGGAGGGUCAUUGGAAACUGGAAAACUUGAGUGCAGAAGAGGAAAGUGGAAUUCCAUGUGUAGCGGUGAAAUGCGCAGAGAUAUGGAGGAACACCAGUGGCGAAGGCGACUUUCUGGUCUGUAACUGACGCUGAUGUGCGAAAGCGUGGGGAUCAAACAGGAUUAGAUACCCUGGUAGUCCACGCCGUAAACGAUGAGUGCUAAGUGUUAGGGGGUUUCCGCCCCUUAGUGCUGCAGCUAACGCAUUAAGCACUCCGCCUGGGGAGUACGACCGCAAGGUU